CAGUCGAACGGAGCUGCUUUGAUGAAGUUUUCGGAUGGAUUUAAAACAGCUUAGCGGUGGACGGGUGAGUAACGCGUGGGUAACCUGCCUCACACUGGGGGAUAACAGUUAGAAAUAGCUGCUAAUACCGCAUAAGCGCACGGUUCCGCAUGGAACAGUGUGAAAAACUCCGGUGGUGUGAGAUGGACCCGCGUCUGAUUAGCCAGUUGGCGGGGUAACGGCCCACCAAAGCGACGAUCAGUAGCCGGCCUGAGAGGGUGAACGGCCACAUUGGGACUGAGACACGGCCCAAACUCCUACGGGAGGCAGCAGUGGGGAAUAUUGCACAAUGGGGGAAACCCUGAUGCAGCGACGCCGCGUGAGUGAAGAAGUAUUUCGGUAUGUAAAGCUCUAUCAGCAGGGAAGAAAGUGACGGUACCGGAAUAAGAAGCCCCGGCUAACUACGUGCCAGCAGCCGCGGUAAUACGUAGGGGGCAAGCGUUAUCCGGAUUUACUGGGUGUAAAGGGAGCGUAGACGGCAAGGCAAGUCUGAAGUGAAAGCCCGGUGCUUAACGCCGGGACUGCUUUGGAAACUGUUUAGCUGGAGUGCCGGAGAGGUAAGCGGAAUUCCUAGUGUAGCGGUGAAAUGCGUAGAUAUUAGGAAGAACACCAGUGGCGAAGGCGGCUUACAGGACGGUAACUGACGUUGAGGCUCGAAAGCGUGGGGAGCGAACAGGAUUAGAUACCCUGGUAGUCCACGCCGUAAACGAUGAUUGCUAGGUGUAGGUGGGUAUGGACCCAUCGGUGCCGCAGCUAACGCAAUAAGCAAUCCACCUGGGGAGUACGUUCG
rnacentral:rRNA from 1 species